UCUUAAACUACGGCUGUCAUAUAUUUGUGGCCACAAGCUGGAUUUCGGGGGCGCUGUUUCCCCCUGUGGAUAAAGUUAAGGAGAGACUCUUUUCUUCUUUGUUUCCUGUUUACAGUGACAGCCUUCACAUCAUCAUCAGCAGCAGCAGCAGUAGAGAAUAUAAUCCACGGAGGUUUUAUAUCGGUAUGUACGGCGUUUUAAUCACUGUUCUGUCGUCUAAGAAGCUGGUAAACUUAUCAAAAGAUCCAACUUCUUUCCAGGAAAGAUUACGGUGUCUUUAGCGAAGGCUCCAUCAGCACACAGGACAGAGCCAACAGCGACGGUUUCCAGACCUGCCGAGCCUGAUGACUCCUCUGGGAUUGUUGCUUCUGUGAAAGGCUGAAGGCCCCG